rnacentral:rRNA from 1 species
GACGUAGGGUGCGAGCGUUGUCCGGAUUUAUUGGGCGUAAAGAGCUCGUAGGCGGCUCGUCGCGUCGACCGUGAAAACCCGCGGCUUAACUGCGGGCUUGCGGUUGAUACGGGCGGGCUAGAGUUCGGUAGGGGAGACUGGAAUUCCUGGUGUAGCGGUGGAAUGCGCAGAUAUCAGGAGGAACACCAAUGGCGAAGGCAGAUCUCUGGGCCGUAACUGACGCUGAGGAGCGAAAGCAUGGGGAGCGAACAGG